AUGACAUGCCCUACUGCUACAGAGAGGAAUCCUAAUUCGUUGGAGCUGGAGCAUCUGUGCAACAAGAAGUGGCCACAACUCUCGGGAAAGAGCAGAGAAGGCCGAGACCUGGCGAGCUGGAUGAUAUCCCUAUUUCAGGUUUUAUCAAAGGAUGACCUCUCUUUAUACAUUAGAAUAUUAUAUGAUUUGUGGCAGGAGAGGAAUGCUGCCUCAAGAGGUGAACCUGUGCAAAAUCCGAAGAAAGUGGCCAAAAGAGUUUGUUCCCUUGCUGGUGAAUGGAAUCAGUUUAAAUCGGUACCAGCUUCCUCAAGUGUAUGUGCUAUUGAGAGAUGGUUUCCUCCGCCUCACGGCUGGGUGAAGGUAAAUGUGGACGGAGGGCUUAAUAUUGGUGGUGGAGCUGGCAGAGCAGGAGUAAUUAUCAGGAGGAUUGACGGCUCCUUUGUUGCAGGAAAAGCUCCGGGCCCCCUUAUGUGUGUGAUCCAGCGCUUGCAGAGCUGUUGGCGGCGAAAGGAGUCAUGUUGCGACUCAACUAGAUAA
rnacentral:rRNA from 1 species